AAGACAGGAAGCUGUUUGUGGGGAUGCUCGGCAAGCAGCAGAGCGAGGACGACGUCAGGCGGCUGUUCGAGACCUUCGGCCAGAUUGAGGAGUGCACCGUACUUCGAGGGCCUGAUGGGGCCAGUAAGGGGUGUGCCUUUGUGAAGUUCUCUAGCCACGCAGAAGCACAAGCCGCCAUCAACAGCUUGCACGGUGGACAAACUAUGCCUGGUGCCUCAUCCAGCCUGGUGGUCAAAUUUGCAGACACCGAUAAGGAACGCACUCUGCGCAGAAUGCACCAGAUGGCAGGCCAGCUCGGCAUCUUCAGUCCCAUGACCAUCCAGUUUGGGGCCUAUGGCGCCUACUCUCACGCUGUAAGUCUCAGCCCGGCGGGAGAGGAGACGCAGAUGAUGCAACAGCAAGCAGCCCUGAUGGCAGCAACACAAGGGUCCUACCUGAACCCYAUGGCAGCCAUUGCUGCCGCACAAAUGCAGCAAAUGGCAGCUUUCAAUGUCAAUGGUCUGGUGGCGACUCCUAUGACACCGUCCUCAGGCACCAGCACACCUCCAGGCAUUUCUGCCACAGCCGUGCCCAGCAUAGCCACCCCUAUUGGGGUCAAUGGAUUCAGUGCCCUCCCACCUCAAACCAAUGGCCAGCCCACAUCUGAGCCCAUCUACACCAAUGGAAUUCAUCCUUACCCAGCACAGAGUCCAACGGUGACCGACCCUCUCCAACAGGCUUAUGCUGGCGUCCAGCACUACGCAGCAGCCUACCCCGCCGCCUAUGCGCCAAUCAGCCAAGCGUUCCCCCAGCAACCAACCAUCAUUCCCCAGCAACAGAGGGAAGGGCCAGAAGGUUGCAACCUGUUUAUUUAUCACCUGCCCCAGGAGUUUGGAGACGCUGAGCUCAUGCAAAUGUUCCUACCUUUUGGCAACGUCAUUUCUGCCAAAGUCUUCGUGGACCGAGCGACCAAUCAGAGCAAAUGUUUUGGCUUCGUGAGUUUUGAUAACCCGUCCAGCGCUCAAGCCGCUAUCCAGGCCAUGAACGGCUUUCAGAUAGGCAUGAAGAGGCUGAAGGUGCAGCUAAAGCGGCCAAAGGAUGCCAACCGACCUUACUAACUCGUCUGCUGUCCAUAACCAGUGUGAGGUGGCCUUUUUCUGCUAUAGCCACUCACCUCCCCCCCUACACCUGUCAUGGGGCCAAGUUCCCUCAGCUGAUGAAGGGCCACAACACCUUAUUUCCACAAGUGCAGUAAAAGUACAAAGACUCCUUGUUCUGCUACAUAUCAUGAAGGAAGGGUGGUCCCUUGAUCCUCCUGGAAAAGCCGCUGAAAGAUUGGGUGACUGAAAGAAGAAUCCCAGAGUUGUUUUUUAUUGGUAUUAUUUUUUUCUUCUUUUUUCUUCGCAAAUGCCUCUUUUUUCCCUGUUUUGCUUUGGCGUCUGUGGAGGAAGAUUUUUUGCAGAGACCAACUUUUUGCUGCUGUUUUUUAGACAUGAUGAAAAAAAAAAACACUUUAUAGACUCAUUAUGCUCAAAGCAUGCAUACUGACACAGGAUACAGAUAAACUCACAUGAAAAAAAUGAAGAAAAGAAACCAAACACAACUAUUAAAGAAAGCUACAGUUAGCAAAUGAAAAAAAAAACUUUGUACAUGUAUAAAUACGUGCAAAUGCCAACACAAGUACUGAAGCAAACUCAUGCGUGUGCGCGCACACACACACAAAUAUACACAAACACACACACCAGCCUGCUGCCAUUUUGGUUUUUGUGCCUACACAGGUGUUGUGCUCUGUGACAGGGCAAGCUCUGGAUCAAGAAGAAAACAAGAAGAGGAGAGGUGUGAAGAAUCCAGGAUAAUUUACAUGCAUCAUUCCUUAGGAAAUAGGGACCAAAGGACUAAACGCUUUUUAAAAAAUUAUAAAUAUAUAAAUAUAUAAAUAUAUAUAUUUAAAAACUCAUACCUUGUAGCUGCAAGUAUUACAAUUUACUCAUAGUAAAAAAAGCAUUAAAUCAUUAUCCAGUGGCCUAUUGUAAGUAAAAGAAAAUGGAAAUAAUGUAUAAAAAAUGAUAUGGGAUCGUAGUAUAGGGUCAGACCUUUUUUGCUCUGGAUGCUGAUUUAGCACUCGGUUGUAGAAUAGUGACAUAGUGACAAAAAAACAAACAAACAAAAAAAACAUAAAAACAAUGUACAUUUGCAACAUUUUUCCUGUUGUUUAAAAAGAAAUACACAAGUUGUCAUGAAAAGAGGGUUUCUAAGGAAGUAACAAAAGAAAAAAAAACACUUAUCCACGCCUAUGAGAAGGAAGAGAAUUCUCUCAUGGAUGUUAAGGGAUCAGCCACUGGAUAUUUCACUCAUAAUGUACAAGACACUGCACUCUCUGACAGCUAUAAAAAAAGACUGCUCUGGUGGGCAAAUAUGGAAACAAGAGCGAGAGAGAGAGAUAAAAAAGACACUAAACUUAACGAUGUCUGUGCUGGACAGGGUGCAGAUGUUUAAGGCUUCUCGCUAGCCUUUGUGUUCAAGCGACAAUCCACUGUAAAGACCAAGCAAAAUGGACAUGUGGUGUCUUUUUUUUUCCUUUCCAUUGACUUUUUGUAUUGCAUCAAAAGUGUAAACUAUGAAGCCACAAGUUCUUAAACAAAACAAAAAAAAAAUGCUUAGAAGAAAGAUGGAUGACCAUGAGGGGUAUAGUAAAAAAAAGCAAGAGAAGAGGAGUAAAGCGACAGCUACUGAAACUGCCAGCAGAAUGAACUGAGUUUAGUAAUGAAUUGGCCAAUCCCUAUCAUUGGGAAACAGAAUGCCUGUGAACAACAUGCCAAGGUUGAGUAUGUCCACUGAAGGUGCUCCAAAACUCUAGACUGAAAAAAAAAUAUAAUCUUGUCUCUUGGCAUAUAAAAAUAAGCAUCUCUCUGUAGAUAAAUUCAAUUUACUGCAUUGAUGGCAAGGGAGUUUAGGCUUUUAGGGCUCAUUCAGCUCUGCAAAUAUAUGGGUUCCAUUGUAAACAUGUYCACUGACCUGCUUUUUUCAUCAGGGUUGAUGGAAAGAAAAGCUACUGCUAAAACAGGCAAGAUCUACAUUAAGUCUAACAGCCACUCUCACCCAUCAUUCAGCUUGCCUUGUAGCUUUUCUGACACUGACAGAGCAAAGCACUCCAGUGCUGUCAUGUCUUGAUUUAGAGUCCCAYAGCCUUUAUUUUGACUGUUUUAAAGCUGUGCAUGUAGACUCCUCUAUAACAAAAAGAAGAAAAAAAAAACUAGAUCAAUAUGUUUGGAGUCAGUCUUCAGGGAGAAACAUUGGUGUUUUCAGUCACUAUGAGCACUUCCCAAUUUUCUCUGCAGAACACCAGCUCACACCCAACCCUCUGAGCACUGACAGAUGGCAUUAAGAGGCAGGGCAAGGCAAGAAGGGAGAGGAAGGAGAAAAUGUCAACAACUUUUCACGUUGAGAUCAUUUCAAAUUAUGCUUCUAGGUUGUUGCGGAAUAAUUUAAUCGAGAAAUUUAGAAACUAAAUUCAAGUUGCCAGUGGCAAACAUUAUGGAUUUGCACUAUAUGUUAUAAAAACCAGAACUAAGGGUUAAUUAUGACUAAAGUACCAUAGACUAUUGUCUCACUAGACUAUUCAUUACUGAUAAUCCCUUUCCUUUUGCCUGGACCUCCCUCUAGUUUUUUUUUAUAAUUCAAAUGCCGACAAGACUUGUUCAAAUGUGUCAAUUUUAUUUUUCUUUUCUUUAUUUCUUAAUUUUUUAUUUUAUUUUUGUAAUGCACUGCCUUUGUCAUCUAAAUAAGCUGAAGGUCUUUAUUUCAGGCUAUGCUAUCACCAUGCCUUGUACUGCCUCACCCUUGCUGUUCAUGCCUUUUGCAAACCACAACACAACUGCUCACUUUACCCCAUUCCCAGAACAGAAUUUCUGAACAUGACUAAUGUCCAUUCUCACUACCCUUCAAUUAUCUCCAGCACCAUAUUAAACAUGCUAUUUCACCUUUCCCUAAUCGCACUGUAAUCAUCAGCCUCUCUAUACAUUAGCAGCAACCGAGUGAAAAAUUACUGGGAUAAUCACUUGAACCAAAUGACGGCAGAGAUGGUCCCCUUCAUGCACAUGGAUGACAGAAGGAAGAUUAGGGAGAAUUAUGUUUGUGCCUUCUCCCUGGCAAGGCUGCUGACAGCUGACCUGGCACCAAUAAUACAGCUAAAUUUGUUGACGAAAGAUGUGGAACAAACUCUUCCUUUUUUUUUUUUCUUAACAAGGUGUUAAAAUUGUAGAACAGAUUGACAUUGCCAAACCAUAAAAAGGGAGAGAAAAAUGCCAAAAAAAAGAAAGAAGUGUAUUUUGGUUUUUCUUCACCACAAUUGUAACUUAAAACUAGGUCAAAACCAACAAUUUUACAGAAAAUGCUCCAGCUCGUUGAAGCAGCCACUGGGAGGCCUGUGUUAUUGUAUCUCUGCAGUCAACUAUUGAAGUCAACCUAUUUUACAAAAAUACUUUCAUUUUCUUCAUUGUAUCCUUGCUAAGAAAAAUCCAAAGCAGUUUUGUUCAACACACACACAAACAUAUAUAGAAGCACAGCACAUCAGGUUAAAAAUAAUGUCAUUCAAAUUAAUUUAUCACAUAAUAGAUUUAUCACAUGUAAGUUAUAAAUUCCGGUCCUCUUUUUGUUUUUGAUUUUUUUUUUUUUUUGGUAAAUGUUCAAAAUUACAUAAAGUUGACUGGAACAGGACCACAUUCUUCAUCUUGUCUAUAUUAUCAAUUUAAAACUGAGCUGUUCAUUGGGCACACCAAUGCAGUAGUGUACGAUCAGUCAAAUGUCCUUUGUUUGUCUUGGCAAUCUCCCAGAUUCAUUCAGCGUCAUGAAUUUUGGAUGCACGCUCCACUGAACUUUUYCGUCACAUUUCAGAUGCUGUACUGUUCCCUCUACUAAUAGCAGGUUGACUUCCCAGUGAGCCRAAACCCAGCCCAGCCUAGUCUCCUGCUGUCUAGCUUGGCUAAAAGUGCAGCGUUCAUGUAGCAUACCUGCUAUGCCAGGGCUAAAUUAGGCAAUGUGAAACCAGCACUUAAACACUUUUAWCAAGGGUACUCUGAUUACCUUUACACCCCUGGCUGGAUGGUGAUGAGAUGCAGUAAAAGUAGAGUUAGCUGUAACAUUCAACUAAAAAGAAAGAAAAUUUGUUUGUAUUGRCUUGCUUUGCUUUUAGACUCAGUCUAAACUUAGUUCAUGCUAUGUUUCAGCUUCAAGAGGACUAACAAAUAGCAACCCAGCAGGUGCGCACCAAGUUGUUGCCAACCUCUAAUUGACAUUUGCCCUCAAAUUUGAAUAUGAGUUAAUGUAACUUGACAUUUUUGUUUCAGCCUGACAGAAAAAAAAAACAAAGUGUUACUUGUGAAUCUAGUGUGCAAUCCCCCUGUCGGUGGUGCAAAACAAGGUACAUUUAGGCUCAAGUCGUAGAUAUUUUUAAAUAUAUAAUAAACAUUUACAAAAAGCUAGUGAGGCAACACUGAAAUUAAAAUGGUGAACAUACAUUAUACCCAUUUCAGCUGCCACUAUGCUCACUCAGCUUGUAGUUUAGAGUACCACAUAUCCUUAGAGGGUUAUAGCCAAUGGCAGGACGGAGUGAAAGACUGCUAGAGCAUGGAUAUCCAAUCCUCUGGGUGCAUAACACUCACCCUGAAAUAGCAGUGAUUGUCAGGGAAAGGAAGUGAAAUGUAAUUGACUGAAAGAGGAGAGAUAAUUAAAGGAACCUGUUGGACAGGAGGAAAGAAAUUAAUGCCUCUCAUUUAGUAGCUGCUUUGGGAGGGAGCUGUUCUGUCAUCUCAUUUUGGCACAGAAAGGGUUUUGCUCUUGAAAUCAAAUUUUGAACGGGAACAAAAAAAAAGUAGGAAUAGUGGAAAGAGGYGCUGGGUGGUGGGGGUGCUGUGUGCUAAACUGAAACUCCACAAAAUCACUCCCAAUACUCAGGGCAUCAGGUCUUAUGAUGUCAUGAUUAGUGGAGCGGUUCAGAGUUUUGCCUUACCCCUGAUCCUGAAGGAGAUCAGGCACAUAAAUAAGGUGGCAGGGCAAGAUGUAAUGUUGCAUCUUGAUGUGAGAAAUGCUGAUAGGGCAGAAAGGCUGAUAAAACACCUAAAUCAAAGUUUGGACUCAAACUGUCAUCAUUCAGUUUUGAGGAGAAGAAGAUACUAACCAUCAGCCAACAACACAAAGUAUGCCCCAAACUGCAGGAUUACAUUUAACAACACUGAAGAGAGAAAUCAAGUGAAAAUGAGAAAACUUUUUUUAAUUAAUAAUAUCAUUCUUUCUUAAUGUAAAUAGCCUUUAAACUAUUCAAAAAAACAGGGCAAGGUUCUAUAGCAACUUGUGUUGAGAAGCUCAACUCUGUGGGACAAUGAUGUCACUAUAAAAUGUAUCCACAGCAGUGCAGGGAUUUAAGAGAGUUUAAGUCCUUUUAAGCCCCUUAGGUUUGGGCUGUGAACAUGCAUCCUACAACCCCUAAGCAUCAGACCAAGGAUUAGAAAGUAUCUGACUUAGUGUCAAACCUAAGCCACAGCCUCAAAGUGAUCCGUUAAUUAAGAUUCUGUGUACACCGACAUGUCAUGAUUUUUCUGACAGAAGAACGAUUGCCUGUGCGGUAAUUGGAUUAGUCCAAUUGGAGCUGAUGAACAGAUAUGACAGUAACAGUGGAGUUCAUCCGUCUGCGUACUUUCUGUUUGACAGUGAGAAAGAAAAGAGAAGAAUGAGCACAUUAGCUACCACCACACUUUAAAAAAAUGAAAUCUUCAGAAGUGAAAGUUGAGGCUUACAGCAUUUACCGAAGGCAGUUUUACAUAUUAAAACUCCARGUAACAACUUGUUUAGCAUGUACAUAAACCACUUUGGAAUCAAGCAUUUAAUACAUAAGGUUGAACUACACAUACAUGGUUAGUCUGGGGCUGGGAAAAGGUGGGGGAACAAGAAAGAAAUUAUAGUUGAGUCCAGCAGAACCCCCCAGCCUGCCUGACCCAGUCUACCACUGCUCUCUUAAUCUGACAGCUGCAUUAUACCUGUACAUAUAAUAUAGCUUAUUUUUCAAUUAUGUUUAACAUUCUUUAUAGGCCGUUCAUUAGAUCAUGUUCAAAUAAAAAAAAGAAAAAAAGAAUAGUUAAUAUAUUGAAACUAAGAAAAGAAAACUAUGAAAUAAUUUAUGGAAAACAGAAGAUAACAUGAUUUUAUUUCUUGUAUAGUGACACAAUAGUAUUCAAAAAAUGGGAUUUUUAAAACUCAUGUUGAGAUGUUUUUUUCAUUCUCUUUGUUGUGUUAUUAUUGGCUGAAGCUGGGAAGACCCACUGUCACAAGAUUUAGUCAGAUAUUAUUUUGUGUGGCAGGGGAUGCACAAUCCCUGUGAAACAUCCCCUGUGAAUAACACAUCCAAAUAGAUUUUUUUCUCUCGCUGAAAGCUGUAAAAUCAAUUCAAGAAUUAGCAAACUGCACUGUAAAGGGACGAUUGAACAGCAUGGCCUGUGGAUUCAGUGAAAAAAUGUCAUUGCACAAAUGAGUUCAAAUAGAUCAGCAUUGUUCAWAAUAAUCUUAUUGAGGCCUUUAGUUGAGUGGAAAUAAAAUGACUUAAAAUGCCCAACAAAGAAGAAAAAAUACAUGACAAAAAAUAUACCAAAUCUUGCUAUCCUGUUGGUUUUGGGGUCGAUGCUAACAUAUCUUAUUGUACUUUAAUUACCAUUGGUGUCCCACUCCUUUCUUCUCUUUAUGUCUUCAAUGUACUUUUAUUUAAUAGUUUUUUCAGGGUAAUUCACCAUUGAUAUACAUCUGAGUUUCAUGCUUUUUUGCUCCUGCUUAAGGGACAAUUCAACCACGGUUUCUUACCUAAUGUGACUCAAUCCACAAAAGACACUGUGCCGCCAGCAGAUCAUGUGACAUUGCUUCACUCCAGUCAAGUUGGUUUGUAAAAGUUAAGUAAGGAAUUCUGCCUUAAACCCAGCCUGUUCUCUUUGACAGCACUACCUGUGAACAGUGCUCAGACACUGUAUUCUGGGGAUGCCAAAUGCUCUUUAAAACAAAUAUUUAGCCAGAUCAGUUUUUGCCUCAAGCCCAUUCUGACACAAUUAUGGAUGUGGUCAUUGACCUUCAUUUCAUUGGUUACAAGGACCAAAAUGUAAACAAACUCAGCCAGCUGAGCAGUUUGCUUUAAUCAAGCGUUCAUUGAAAACCUUUAAAGUGUUCCCAUUUAGUCCUAGGUAAUUGUUGUAUCGCUAAUCAUCACAGUCCCAGCUUCACUAGUUUUACUUUUAAUUGCCGUUCAACUUUAUUUAAGCAUAAUAGAAUUAUGUAUUUACAUUCACAAUGAGAUAAAUAUAUCAUGUCUUUUAUUUUUGAUUUGUAAAAAAAAUAAUAAUAAGUUGCUGUUUUCUGUUUUUAUUUCUUUCUUUCUUUUUUUGGAAACAGAAAUGUAAUUUGAAUUAACGGUGGCUGGGAUCUGUUUCCCUGAUUCGGGAUGAUGUUUCCCAUAGUGAUCCUGAACUCUGUAGAUCUCUAGUUCAUUAUAUUCUGCUUAGACUAAAAUAAAGCACAGUCCUGUAGAAGAUUA